CCUACGGGUGGCAGCAGUGAGGAAUAUUGGUCAAUGGGCGCGAGCCUGAACCAGCCAAGUAGCGUGAAGGAUGACUGCCCUACGGGUUGUAAACUUCUUUUAUAAAGGAAUAAGGUGAGGCACGUGUGACUCAUUGAGAGUACCCGAAGAAAAAGCAUCGGCUAACUCCGUGUCAGCAGCCGCGGUAAUACGGAGGAUGCGAGCGUAAUCCGGAUUGAUUGGGUUGAAAGGGUGCGCAGGCGGAGGUGCAAGUCAGCGGUCAAAUUGCGGGGCUCAACCCCGUACUGCCGUUGAAACUGCAGCCCUUGAGUGCGGGAGAAGUAUGCGGAAUGCGUGGUGUAGCGGUGAAAUGCAUAGAUAUCACGCAGAACUCCGAUUGCGAAGGCAGCAUACCGGCGCGCAACUGACGCUCAUGCACGAAAGCGUGGGUAUCGAGCAGGAUUAGAUACCCCGGUAGUC
rnacentral:rRNA from 1 species